GCAUGAGCCACCGCGCCUGGCCCAAUUGGACUAAAUUCUAAAAAACCCUGUGGGUUAUGCCACUGAGCUAAACUCAGGGAAUCUUAUGGUGGGAUUUCUGGGGCACCUGAAGGUUAAUUCAUUCAUGUAUCCACGCAACAAAUUUAUACAGAGUACUGACUGCAUGUCAUACAAUAAGCUAGUAAAUAGCUAAGAACAAAAGCUUUUCUGGGAGGGCUAUUCACCCAGUAGGGCCUUGAGGCUCUGGCAGAGCUCCCUGGAGACUGAGCUGCUGGGCAGGGGAGAAUGGGGCAGGCAGUGGGCACUGCCAGUGGAUGGAAGCCCUUUUCCAUCCCAGGCAAAGUGGCAGAAGACCAUGGAGGAACUGCCAGGCUGAAGGGCCCACAGUGAGACCCGGGGGAGUCUGAGGCUGCAGGGAGUGGCCAGCCACCUUUUUGGGCCAUGAGUGCUCAGCCAGCUCUUCAUCCAGGUGGGAGGGUGGGAGGAGGCUGGGCUCUACAGGAGCUACUCUCUGUACACCUGCCCUCCUGGAGUCAUCCCAGUGCACUGCAAGCUUUGGAAGUCAGGGCUUUGGAGUCAGACCUAAAUGCAGACCCUCCUCCUCUGCUCCGCCUCAGGAAAGUCACUUUAACUUCUGAGCCUUAGUUUCUCCAUGUGUAAAAUGGUGAUAAUUGCAUCUUCUUAUUUACUCUGCCCAGGAGAACCAAAUGAGAUAGUAAGAGCAAGUGCUUUCAAGAUGAUAGCACCUUAUGCCCAGUGUCUACCAUGUGGCAGUCUAUAGCAACAACCUCCUCCUCGAAUGGUUUUUGUAUUUUAAAACAGAAACAAAGUCUCUUGCAUUUAACAGCAACAUGGAACAAUGACCUUUCAGCCUCUUUAUGGCGAGGCAAGGAUCCUAACAGACAGAUGGGGGAGUUGGAGGAAAGGAGCUGAACAUUGGAGCAGCUGAGCUGCAGCGUGUAGGAACAUCUGGCUUACCCUUAGGUGGACAGUGGGUCUGAAUGGCUCCAGUGGGUGCCCCAAAUGCAGUGGCUGCACAGACGGUCCAGUGGGCAGCUGCUGCCUUGUAGAUGGGCUCAAGGUACAGCUUCAAGACAGCAGUGGCCACACUGCAGAUGGUGGUGACCUGUCUGCACUCCCCACCUCCUGCUUAGGGUGCUUGGUGGCUUCCUGUUCACUCAGUUUUCUCACCCAGUCUUUUCAAUAGAACUUUUACCCACAAAGCACAGCCAAUGACCAAGGACACCUUAGAGCAAGGACUAGUAAACCACACAGCCUUUGCACCAAUGCGCCCCACUGCCUGUUUGUGUACAGCCUAUGAACUAAGAAUGAUUUUUCCAUUUUUAAACGGUUGAAAAAAACUCAGUAGAAUAUUUUGUGAUAUGUGGAAAUCAUAUGACACUCAAAUGUCAGUGUCCAUAAAUAAUGUUUUGUUCACUUGUAUGGUUUAUGGCUGCUUUUGUGCUACAAAGGCAGGUUGCAUACUUGCGACAGACUGUAUGGUCUGCAAAACCUAAAAUAUUAUCUGGUCCUUUGCAGAAAAGGUUGGCUGAUCCCUGAGUUAAAGAUACCUUCCUUCUAGGAGGAGUUGCAAUUUAAUUCACAUUCAUCCCUUAAGCAAAACAGAUGAAGCUCUAAUGGUGGAAUUUCAGGUGUGUAUCUGUGACAGGUUGACGUUUCUAGGGGGAAGUAGGAGGAAAAUUAGAGCCAAGUAACAGAGGCAGCAGGAUGUAAAAUAGAAAUUUUACUAGGCAGUAGGAAUCCUGGUUUCUAAUUCCACUUUCAACUGAUGAAUAAUUAUGUGAUUUUGAGCAAAAAGGCUUUUCAUGUCCCAGCCACUUUCCUUACCCAGGAUCUCCUCUCCUGCCCUUAAAAAGGAAGACAAUAGCUGUGAAAUGCUUUGAGACCUAAAAAAAAGUCAUUCAAAUCAAAGAUUAGGAGGAAAAAAAAAUUAGGCAAUUCUAGAACAUUCUGAUAAGGUGAUAUCUGAUAUUUCUUCCCUUUUUUGAUAUCUGAAAUAUCUGAUAUUUCUUCCCUUUUUUUUUUUUAAAUUUUUUGAGAUAGGGUCUUGCUUUGUCAUCCAGGCUGAAGUGCAGUGUCACCAACAUAGCUUACUCCAGCCUCUACCUCCCAGGCUCAAGCGAUCCUCUUGCCUCAGCCCUCCAAGUAGCUGAGACUACAGGCAUGUGCCACCACGUCUGGCUAAUUUUUGUAUUUUUUGUAGAGUUGGGGUUUGCCAUGUUGCCCAGGCUGGUCUCAAACACCUGGGCUCAAGCCAUCCGUCUGCCUCAGCCUCCCAAACUGUUGGGCUCACAGGUGUGGGCCACCACGCCCGGCCUUUCUUCCUUUCAAAGAAGGGAAACAAAAUAUCUAUAGGUGUAGUGACCCUAUGCUCCUCAAAACCCUUAGCUUGACAACAAGUCUAUUAUAGGCCCUUGGCAUUUGUGCAACUGAGACACAGUCAUUCCCAAGCCACCCAGAAGGUCCCCGACCUAUAUAUUUGUUAUUUUGCCUAGGCACAAAUCUGAGUUACUCAGCUGCUACUAAGUGAACCUAGUGUAUGUAGUGGAUGGCCCAGUACCGACAUCCCAGGAUGGCUGGCUGUUCUUUCCUGGUUAUGACAGACAUAGUAACUAAUAAAGUGACUUAAAACAUCCUUUGUAAAUAAACGCUCUGUAUUCAUGACGCUGGCCCUCUCAAAUGUCUAAGGAGGGACUCUCCAUGAGUGACGUGUUUUACGUUAAAAGUAUUUAUUUGCAAUCAGGGACUCUGGCCUGUGGUGACCAUUUCUAGAAGCUGUCUAACAUAUCUUUAAAUACCGCGCCCAGAAGUGGCUUCCUUUCAUGGCAGUCUCAGUUUCUGGUUCCUAGAAGUUGCUGAUUCCAACAGCACCUGAUGACCACAAGUCAUCUGAGGGAAGCUGUGGCCAAGAAUGGAUAACAACCACAUUUUAUUCGGACACCAAAGCAAGUUGCAAUCUGAAUUGCAACCACACCUUGCAAUGGCGCCAACACAUGCAACAGAAACAGAAUUUGCACUUGGUAUGUUUAUUUCCGUUGCUCUUAAAAAUGCAAACCCACGCUAGAGCCCAUGCCAAAGACAGCUGGAACAAAUUGCAUCACCUGGAUUUUGGGGUUUGUAAUAGCUAGCCUAUGUUGGUGUGCAAAUUGGCCAGUUGUAUGCUAUUUUAAACCCUUCCUGCUCCCUUUCCCAUUUUGUGCCAAGGGCACACAAAGCUGCCCAGAAGGAAGGAAUUCAAUCAGCAUCAGAAGAAUGCAUUGAAGUCCUGUUUCCUAAACCCCAGGGGAGAGCUGAGUGGGAGGGAAGGACCCAGCUAGCUAAGGACAGAGUCCUUUUUAUGUGUCUGUUUCCCCAAGCAGAAUGCUGGGCCCAACUGAUGAAUGUUAGUGGGAGGGAACAAUGGAAGAGGGUGGCUGGAUGGCAAUGAGAGGCCUGGGAAGGGCCUGGGGAUGAGGAGGGGGUGGAAGCACUUCCUGAGGAUCCAUCCAGGCCCAGAGUUUUCAGCCGCCACCUCCAGAGCUCCGCCUGCCUGCUUGGCCAGGUCCAGUUGGCCCUGGCAGAAAGUCAUCACCCUGUCCUUGCCAGCACUCCAUCCUUGGCUAUAAGUCUUAUCUGGUCAAGCUGCUCUCUGUAUUGGACCCUCCUGUCAAGUAUCUGGACUUCUGGGCUGAUAGUCACCUUUUUUCUGUGAUGUUUCUCCCUGGUCAGUCUCAGAAUUAAUACAUUUUUCCUCUGCUAGUCCCCUCUCCUCUUCUGAAACAGCAUGGAGGUUCUGUCCACUCUAAACUCACCCAGGGUUUGGGCUGGGCUGGGCCGGAUGCCCUGCAUGCUGAUAACUCCAUGUGGCCAGCCCACGCCCUGGGUUAUUUGCCAACCUGCCUUCCAGUUUUGCACAGUGCCAUACCUCAGGUGCCUUCUCAUGCCAGCUAGUCAGAAUGGAGUGUUCUCCUAUAGGACCCAGGGAUAGGUUAGGGUUUGAAGUCCCUCACAAGGCCUCUAGGGUGUCAAGGCACAGGGCAUCUCAUGGAAGCAUUGGUGUGGGAUCAAGUCCAUCCUAAAAAAAAGUCCUAUGCUGUAUUAUACCUGCUAAGGGGCAAGGCUGGCCCCUCAAAUAAUAGGUGUCAUAGGUAAGCCUCUAGUACAGUGCCACCUGCAUGUUCUAGGUGCUCAGUAAUGUAGAAUAACAAAUACUUGAGUGGCCAGGGCAGUCUGAUUACUAAGAACAACCCAGAAGAGGCAGGUAUUUUUUUAUGAAUGAAAUAUUUCACACCCAGAGGACUUUGUUUUACCAUUGUUAAUAUAAACUGUGAAUUUAGGA
rnacentral:lncRNA from 1 species